UGGGGAAUAUUGCACAAUGGGCGCAAGCCUGAUGCAGCCAUGCCGCGUGUGUGAAGAAGGCCUUCGGGUUGUAAAGCACUUUCAGCGAGGAGGAAGGCAGUCGUGUUAAUAGCACGGUUGAUUGACGUUACUCGCAGAAGAAGCACCGGCUAACUCCGUGCCAGCAGCCGCGGUAAUACGGAGGGUGCAAGCGUUAAUCGGAAUUACUGGGCGUAAAGCGCACGCAGGCGGUUUGUUAAGUCAGAUGUGAAAUCCCCGCGCUUAACGUGGGAACUGCAUUUGAAACUGGCAAGCUAGAGUCUUGUAGAGGGGGGUAGAAUUCCAGGUGUAGCGGUGAAAUGCGUAGAGAUCUGGAGGAAUACCGGUGGCGAAGGCGGCCCCCUGGACAAAGACUGACGCUCAGGUGCGAAAGCGUGGGGAGCAAAACAGGAUUAGAUACCCUGGUAGUCCACGCUGUAAACGAUGUCGACUUGGAGGUUGUGCCCUUGAGGCGUGGCUUCCGGAGCUAACGCGUUAAGUCGACCGCCUGGGGGAGUACGGCCGCAAGGUUAAAAC
rnacentral:rRNA from 1 species